CAAUAGCGUAUAUUAAAGUUGUUGCAGUUAAAAAGCUCGUAGUUGGAUUUCUGGUGGGAGCGAUCGGUCUGGCGCUUAGCGCGAGUACUUGCAUCGUCUCCGGCCAUCCUUGGGGAGAGUCUGUCUGGCAUUAGGUUGUCGGGCAGAGGAUCCUCAUCGUUUACUGUGAAAAAAUUAGAGUGUUCUAAGCAGGCUUAUGCCGUUGAAUAUAUUAGCAUGGAAUAAUAAGAUAGGACUUUGGUACUAUUUUGUUGGUUUGCGCACCAAAGUAAUGAUUAAUAGGGACAGUUGGGGGUAUUCGUAUUCCGUUGUCAGAGGUGAAAUUCUUGGAUUUACGGAAGACGAACUACUGCGAAAGCAUUUACCAAGGAUGUUUUCAUUAA
rnacentral:rRNA from 1 species